AUAUAGUAACAAAUUUACAUAAGUAUAGUUAACUAUAAAAAGAACAGUUAAACAAAAUUUAAAACAUGUUUGGUUUGAAUUUGUUUACAUUUAGUUCCAUAUUUCAACAGUUUUCAUUAUAACUACAGUAGUAAGCACAAUAAAUUUACUCAUGAAAAUGUUCAUUUUUUUUGUGACAGGUACAAUAAAGUUUUUGUAAAUGUAAUUAUUCUUACAAAGAGAGAAAAACAAUUAAGCUAUUAAUUUUGAAAGUGUAUAUUUUUAAAAUUAUUUUAAAAACAUUAAAUUCUGUAUGGCUUAUGCUACAUGUUAAUCGUAGAAAAUGUGGAAUCCAUUAUAAAACUAUUUUUGUAUAUAAAAUAAUUUUUAGUUUCACAGGUUAUUUAAAAUAUAUAUAAUUAAAUUACAACCUAUGUUUACAAUUAGUUUAAAUGAUACCACCAGUUCUGUAUAUUUUUAUUCAGUAAUAAUAUUAUCAUCUGAUUCUUUCAUCUAAAAUGAAAAGAAUUAUGUGGGGCACAGAUACUUUUAUUUUCACUCUCUUAUUAGCAGUUGACCUAAUGAUUAUACUAUGGAAGAAAAUUAACAAUAUAAAAGUAUUUCAGGAAAAAGGUACAGAUUUCAAAUGAAUGAAAAAAAAGGCACAUUUAUAGAGAUGGGUUAGUAAAUUCAAUAUAUCAGUAAUUUUUAACUAUGUUAUGUAUAAAAUGAACUUUUUUAUAUACUUUUUAUAGAAAUAAAUUUGAAUAUAAACUACUGAGACCUUAAUUAAAAACUAUGAUUCCUUAUUUUAUAUUGUUUUUCAAACUAAAAAUACAAAAUACAAAAUUUUUCUAAAAUUGUGUUUACAUAAUCAAAGACAAUUAUUUUAUAAAUAUAUAUUAAAACAACAUUUUGGUGUAACUGACAUAUAUUAACAAUGAAUUGUUAUUUUCAACAAUUUUCUGAAGUUAAAGAUAAUUUAAAUCAGUUUCAUUAUUAUUAUUAUUAUUAAGUAAUAAUAAUUGAUUCCCAAACUUGUCCACAGUAAAUAAUUAUGUGAUCAAUUUUUAUAAGCUUUGAAAAUUGUAGAAAUUUAAGGAUCAUUGUUAGUAAAUAUUUAUAACACUAACAUUUUAUUCCAAAAUAUAUUAAUAAAUUUCCAUUUUCAAAUUUAUAAAAACAAUUUGUUAAUUAGUAAUUUUAAAACAUAAAAUAGAGGAAUCUCUAGAAAGUAUAACAAUAAAAAAAUUGUUUAAAUAUUAUACAAAAAUAAAAACU